rnacentral:rRNA from 1 species
GCGACCCCAGGUCAGGUGGGAACACCCGCUGAGUUUAA